rnacentral:rRNA from 1 species
UACGGAGGAUGCAAGCGUUAUCCGGAAUGAUUGGGCGUAAAGCGUCCGCAGGUGGCUAUGUAAGUCUGCUGUUAAAGAGUGAGGCUCAACCUCAUAAAAGCAGUGGAAACUACAUGGCUAGAGUGCGUUCGGGGCAGAGGGAAUUCCUGGUGUAGCGGUGAAAUGCGUAGAUAUCAGGAGGAACACCGGUGGCGAAGGCGCUCAUCUGGCCCAAUACUGACGCUGAGGCGCGAAAGCUAGGGGAGCAAACGGG